UGGGCCGGCCCCAUAAUUUACAUCACAUGGCGUAAAUCACUUCCUCAUUUAGCCUAGGCCUUAAAUCGCUAUAUGUAGCAGCAUUUGGAUGGUGCGGUGUUGCUCGGCUCUUUCGGAAUAUAAUCCCCCCCCGGUCGCUGCAAGGAAGAUUGCAGUUUUUGACGGUGAGCUCCCAGCGAACACUCGGCCACAUUCCUCCCUUGUCCUAAGCCCCUCGGUCUGCUGAUAAGGUGGGUUCUGCACUACGACUGGUCGAAUUGGCACUCAGUUUAGCGUGGAUGCAAGGUAAUACCAGCAUGUACUGUCAUGGGUUGCAUUGCGUAUCUGUUGCUGUUCAAAUGUAAUGCUAAUGCUACUCUGUUUGCCUUCAGGAAGAGCUACCUAUUGCCAUUGCUGUUUUGCCUUGUAUUUUAUUUAUGAUUUCUACAAUUUGUUUUGUUUACGUGUACUAUAUCC